GGGCCUGUAGCGCAGUGGUAGCGCGUCCGCUUUGCAUGCUUCGGAGCUUGCGAUACGAAAUUGCGGAAGGUCUAGGGUUCGAUCCCCUACUCGUCCA
rnacentral:tRNA from 1 species